ACUAGGCAUGGUGGUAUAUGCCUGUUUUCCCAGCUACUAGGAGGCUGAAGCAAGAGGAUUGUUUGAACCCAGGAGUUCAAGACCAGCCUGGGCAACAUAGGAAGACUUCAU
rnacentral:sRNA from 1 species